AAUAUCAGAUAAAGGUGGAGGUAUCGCUCAUGACAUUGUAAAACAAGUGUGGGACUAUAACUUCACUACAUCUGGAACAGACGAGAGGGUCAACACAGGACUGUUUGAUGAGAUUACAAGUCCUCAACAUAUGAGUGGUUCUGCUCCUGGCAGAAUGCAUGGAUAUGGAUUUGGGUUACCAGGUUCCAAAGCCUAUGUGGAGUUCUUAGGAGGAUCCCUAACAAUAGAGACGAUGCAGGGAAUCGGUACAGACGUGUAUCUACGGUUACCUCACAUUGACGGAGACAGAGAUAGUGGACAUCGGGAACCAUUCAGGAUAUAAAUAUUUCAUCACAUGCUUUUCACAUUCUUGGUAACCAUGGGAACACAUUUAAUAUUGCUGCUGUAUUACUUUUUUUCAUGCAAAUUUUGUUCAUAAACUGUUCAUCGUCAAUGAUUUCAUAUAGUUUGUAUUUAAAAAAAAUGCACUAGGAACAAAAUGUUCAAGGUAAAUUGUAGAAACCUGUAAUAUUUGUUCAAUUUAUGUGUUCCUUCAGUUUAAUUUGUAUGAAUAUUAUAAUGAAGCUAGUCGUGAUUAGUUGAUAUGAAAAAAGAAAAAUGUAGUCUAAUACAAUGUUGUCUCAUAGUAUCACAUGUUGAUGUCUCAAUGUUUACAUUGUCCUAAAUUGACAUCCUCUUGGAUCACAACUUAUUACACUUUGGGAUUUAGUUUGGUGGAUAUUUUCUGACUAAUCCUCCACCAAAUCUUGUUCCAGCUAUGUAUAGUCAUUUUUGGAAUAAUUUGAUGCAAGACAAAUGUAACCCAGGUAUUUUUUUCAGUGCUGAAACUAUGUCAAAAUGAAAGCAAGGAUCAUUCAAUAAAAAGAUAUUUUUUUCCUCAAUAAUUUAAAGAAUUUUCUGCUUUGAAUACUUCUUGUAUUGUCAUUUGUAAAAAUGUUCCCUUCAAAACUUUUAACCAUGUUUUUGUUUUGUUCUUGUGCAUUUUCUGCCAAGGUCAGAAGAUCGUUUAAAAUGGAUUAAAUACUGGUAUAUUUAGUGUUGAUAAUUUAAAAUCUAAUUAUAACUUUGAUGAUUUGUAACUGUUCGGUCAGUGUAAUCAUUUUCCGUCCGAAAUUCAGUGAAAAAAGUGAAUCUCCGGAAUUUAUAAAUGAAUCUCAUUAUAGAAAGAAAUUUGAAAAGCUUGGUACUGAAAUCCUUUUGUAAAUCAGUACAUUAUUUAUUGAGCUUAUUUUGUUGUUUACAUCCAUCAUAUAUAUAUAUAGCUUUCUAACUUUUCAUUUAUUUACAAGACUUUUUUUUAUGCCACUGUAUAUUUGUCAUUCAUAAAUUCGCAUAAAAUGUUAUCUGAUUUUAAUGUAAGUUUGUCUCCCCUUAGUAGACCUUGAUAUAAUUUAACUUUUUACAGAUGUAAAGAUCUUGAUCCUUAUAAAUAAAAUUUGCUCCUUAUUUCUUCAUGAAGUUGGCAUUUUUUUUAAGACAAUAGCCUUAAAGUGCUGUUGAAUUGUACAAGUUUUUACAAGGACAUCCUGAUAGUGCUUUCAAAUAGUACUAGAUUUUACAUCCGUGUUCAAAUGUUAGGUGCUUUGUUUGAUGUGUGAUAGGCUUAAAGUGUAAAUAAUCACAAUUUUUUUCCCAGAAGGAUCAUAAAGUUUACUGAAUUAGUAUGUGUGGAAUCUCUUUGAGUUUUUGUCUAUUCACUGCAGUUAUUUGUUUAAAAUUAAUCAUUUUAGAUUCAAUAUGUAUAAAAGUUUAUUUAUAUUUAUUUCACAUUAACAAAUUUUACUUUAUACAGAAAUAAAGAGUACUAGUUGUAUUGAAUUUAUAUUUAUUAUUUAUCAGUCAAAUUGAAACUUUAGUUGUGGUUUUAAUAAAGCUUAAAAAGCAAUGAAGAUGAAUUUCAUUUAAUUUUAUGUAGCAGUUACAUAUAUUUUCAUCCUAAAUCAUACAUAUGCCAUGAAUACUCCAAGUCUUCAUUUGCUAUUGACGUGUAUUUCAUCAAUGUGUCAAUAUGUCUGUCUUUAAUAUUUAUAUUUGCUUGGUCAAGUUUAUUUAUAAUUUUACAUAAAUAAGUUAAUUUCCUGUAGAUUUACACAGGAAAUAUGUGCUUAACACUUACUUGCUUUGCUUUGAUAUUGAAGAUGAAUUUCAUAUAUUGUAUAAAUGUUAAUGUUAACAUUGAUCUUUGAUGGUAUUUAUGGUAUUUGUCUACAUGACUAUGAUUUGUGUUAGUUAUAAUAUAUUUUACGAAUUUUCAAUGUUGGCAUAUUGUCAAUUGUUUUAGUCAGUUAUGAAUGUAGAUUUUGAGUGGAAUUAUGCCAUGAAUAUAGAUGUGGGCAUUAAAAUUCACAUAAAACUGUUGGACAAACAAGAAACCAAAUGAUAUUGUAAUGUUAUUGUUAAAUGUCAAGACUUGUAUGAAGGGGGAAUCACCACUGUAGCAUGAAAAAAGGACAAUUUGUGUCAACUCAGUAUUUGAAAGGAUAAUGAAGAUAUAACUUGAUACUGUACAGUGAGAUGGACAGGAUUCAGUGAAAAUUUACAAAUGAAUUUUAGAAUUUGUAAUGAUAGCACAUGUUUAUAUGUUAAGCCUAAUAUGUAAUGUUUCAUUGUUUGUUAAUUGUCUGAGGUAAGAGGGACAUAUGGAAUCUUCAGGUAUGAAUAAACUCCAGCAUUUCACUA